AUACGGAGGAUCCGAGCGUUAUCCGGAUUUAUUGGGUUUAAAGGGUGCGCAGGCGGCCAUUUAAGUCAGCGGUUAAAUCGUGGGGCUCAACCCCAUUCUGCCGUUGAUACUGGGUGGCUUGAUUGCGGUCGAGGUUGGCGGAAUUCGUUGUGUAGCGGUGAAAUGCAUAGAUAUGACGAAGAACACCGAUUGCGUAGGCAGCUGACCAGACCGCAAAUGACGCUCAUGCACGAAAGUGCGGGGAUCGAACUGGAUUAGAUACCCUGGUAGUCCGCACAGUAAACGAUGAAUACUUGUUUUCGGCGAUAUAAUGUCGGAGGCAAAGCGAAAGCGAUAAGUAUUCCACCUGGGGAGUACGCCGGCAACGGUGAAACUCAAAGGAAUUGGCGGGG
rnacentral:rRNA from 1 species